ensembl:lncRNA
CCGGCUAGCAAAGCCUGUGUACUGGUGUACAGUGUAGAGGCUGUGGGGAAAACUCUCUUAUUUUCCUUUCUGUCGUUUUUCCCCUUAUUCCACCCUUGCCCCUUGUUUUGUUACUUCUUUCAUUGACAGCAGUCAAACCGUUAUGACAAUCCACACAGGCACUAAUUUACAUUUACAUUUAUGGCAUUUGGCAGACGCCCUUAUCCAGAGCACAACAAACUCCAGGCUAAACUACAAUAUUCUAGACUAGCACAACAAACUCCAGGCUAAACUACAAUAUUCUAGACUAGCACAACAAACUCCAGGCCAAACUACAAUAUUCUAGACUAGCACAACAAACUCCAGGCUAAACUACAAUAUUCUAGACUAGCACAACAAACUCCAGGCCAAACUACAAUAUUCUAGCCUAGCACAACAAACUCCAGGCCAAACUACAAUAUUCUAGCCUAGCACAACACACUCCAGGCUAAUUUACAACAUUCCAGGCUAGCAGAACACACUCCAGACUAAUUUACAACAUUCCAGGCUAGCACAACACACUCCAGGCUAAACUACAACAUUCCAGGCUAGCACAACACACUCCAGGCUAAUUUAAAAAACAUUCCAGGCUAGCACAACACACUCCAGGCUAAUUUACAACAUUCCAGGCUAGCACAACACAUUCCAGGCUAGCAGAACACACUCCAGGCUAAACUACAACAUUCCAGGCUAGCACAACACACUCCAGGCUAAACUACAACAUUCCAGGCUAGCAGAACACACUCCAGGCUAAUUUAAAAAACAUUCCAGGCUAGCAGAACACACUCCAGGCUAAUUUACAACAUUCCAGGCUAGCACAACACACUCCAGGCUAAACUACAACAUUCCAGGCUAGCACAACGCACUCCAGGCUAAACUACAACAUUCCAGGCUAGCACAACACACUCCAGGCUAAACUACAACAUUCCAGGCUAGCACAACGCACUCUCACAGCUAACACACGAGACCAAAAAAUAUCCCACUGUGCAAGCGCACAUAAAACCCUCCAAAAUACACUAAAGCAGUCCAAGUUUAUAUAAAGACUUCCAGCUAACCUACAACAAUCUUAAACCUGAAUCUAAACAAAACUAAAAGUGAAACCCCACACACACACACACACUUCACCACAAUCCUUAAUCCUCCGAACGGCAUUUCACUGCACAUGCACGUACGGUUUACAUUUAGAACACACCGACAUCAGAAAGGCUUUCUUUUCACUGACGUACUCAGAUCGUGUGUCUACACGUCGUAGAAUAACCAGCUCUAUUACUCCAGCCGCUGAAGUGUUUGUGGAGCGGUUUU